rnacentral:snRNA from 1 species
UAGUGUUAUAGCUCUUUUAGAAUUUGUCUAGAAGGUUUUCUGGUCCUCACUGGAAGACCCCC